rnacentral:rRNA from 1 species
AUUGAACGCUGGCGGCAUGCCUUACACAUGCAAGUCGAACGGUAACGGGCCUUCGGGUGCCGACGAGUGGCGAACGGGUGAGUAAUGCAUCGGAACGUACCCAUCAGUGGGGGAUAACUCUCCGAAAGGAGGGCUAAUACCGCAUAUUCUGUGCGCAGGAAAGCGGGGGACCGCAAGGCCUCGCGCUGAUGGAGCGGCCGAUGUCAGAUUAGCUAGUUGGUGGGGUAAAGGCCUACCAAGGCGACGAUCUGUAGCGGGUCUGAGAGGAUGAUCCGCCACACGGGGACUGAGACACGGCCCAGACUCCUACGGGAGGCAGCAGUGGGGAAUUUUGGACAAUGGGGGCAACCCUGAUCCAGCCAUGCCGCGUGAGUGAAGAAGGCCUUCGGGUUGUAAAGCUCUUUCGGCCGGGAAGAAAUCGCAUCUCCUAAUACGGGGUGUGGAUGACGGUACCGGAAUAAGAAGCACCGGCUAACUACGUGCCAGCAGCCGCAGUAAUAC